rnacentral:SRP_RNA from 1 species
GCCGGGCAGGACAUGGUGUGCCUGUCGUCCCAGCUACUCUGGAGGCUGCAAAAGGAGGAUCGCUUGAACUAGGGAGUUCUGGGCCUCAGUGCACUGUGCCAAUAGGGUAUCUACGGUUAGUUCAGAAUCAAUAUGGUGACCUUCUGGGAGGGGGGGACCACUAGGUUGCCUAAGGAGGGGUGAAUCAGCCCAGGUUGGAAAUGGAGCAGGUGGAAACUCUCGUGCUGACCAGUAGUGGGAUUGUACCUGUGAAUAGCCGCUGCACUCCAGCCUGGGCAAAAUAGCAAGACCCCAUCUCU